rnacentral:rRNA from 1 species
ACACAUGCACGUCGAGCGGAGUGAUGGUGCUUGCACUAUCACUUAGCGGCGGACGGGUGAAUAAUGCUUAGGAAUCUGCCUAUUAGUGGGGGACAACAUUUCGAAAGGAAUGCUAAUACCGCAUACGUCCUACGGGAGAAAGCAGGGGAUCUUCGGACCCUGCGCUAAUAGAUGAGCCUAAGUCGGAUUAGCUAGUUGGUGGGGUAAAGGCCUACCAAGGCGACGAUCUGUAGCGGGUCUGAGAGGAUGAUCCGCCACACUGGGACUGAGACACGGCCCAGACUCCUACGGGAGGCAGCAGUGGGGAAUAUUGGACAAUGGGCGCAAGCCUGAUCCAGCCAUGCCGCGUGUGUGAAGAAGGCCUUAUGGUUGUAAAGCACUUUAAGCGAGGAGGAGGCUACUGAAGUUAAUACCUUCAGAUAGUGGACGUUACUCGCAGAAUAAGCACCGGCUAACUCUGUGCCAGCAGCCGCGGUAAUACAGAGGGUGCAAGCGUUAAUCGGAUUUACUGGGCGUAAAGCGCGCGUAGGCGGCUAAUUAAGUCAAAUGUGAAAUCCCCGAGCUUAACUUGGGAAUUGCAUUCGAUACUGGUUAGCUAGAGUGUGGGAGAGGAUGGUAGAAUUCCAGGUGUAGCGGUGAAAUGCGUAGAGAUCUGGAGGAAUACCGAUGGCGAAGGCAGCCAUCUGGCCUAACACUGACGCUGAGGUGCGAAAGCAUGGGGAGCAAACAGGAUUAGAUACCUGGUAGUCCAUGCCGUAAACGAUGUCUACUAGCCGUUGGGGCCUUUGAGGCUUUAGUGGCGCAGCUAACGCGAUAAGUAGACCGCCUA